rnacentral:rRNA from 1 species
AGUGAACGCUGGCGGUAGGCCUAACACAUGCAAGUCGAACGGCAGCACAGUAAGAGCUUGCUCUUACGGGUGGCGAGUGGCGGACGGGUGAGGAAUACAUCGGAAUCUACUUUUUCGUGGGGGAUAACGUAGGGAAACUUACGCUAAUACCGCAUACGACCUACGGGUGAAAGCAGGGGAUCUUCGGACCUUGCGCGAUUGAAUGAGCCGAUGUCGGAUUAGCUAGUUGGCGGGGUAAAGGCCCACCAAGGCGACGAUCCGUAGCUGGUCUGCGAGGAUGAGCAUGCACAGUGGAACUGAGACACAGACCAGGCUCCGACGGGAGGCGGAAGUAGGGAAUAUUGGACAAUGGGCGCAAGCCGGAUCCAGCCGUACCGCGUGGGUGAAGAAGGCCUUCGGGUUGUAAAGGCCUUUUGUUUGGAAAGAAAAGCAGCAGGUUUAUACCCCGCUGUUCUGACGGUACCCAAAGAAUAAGCACCGGCUAACUUCGUG